rfam:Peniophora sp. CONT PENSPscaffold_50_Cont94, whole genome shotgun sequence.
GGACCCUUAGUUCAGUGGUAGAAUAUCUGAUUCCAGUGUGGGCUGUCCAGAAGGUCAUCCGUUCAAUCCGGGUAGGGUUCA